rnacentral:rRNA from 1 species
GACGAACGCUGGCGGCGUGCUUAACACAUGCAAGUCGAACGGAAAGGCCCUGCUUUUGUGGGGGUGCUCGAGUGGCGAACGGGUGAGUAACACGUGGGUAACCUGCCCUUGACUUUGGGAUAACUUCAGGAAACUGGGGCUAAUACCGGAUAGGAGCUCCUGCUGCAUGGUGGGGGUUGGAAAGUUUCGGCGGUUGGGGAUGGACUCGCGGCUUAUCAGCUUGUUGGUGGGGUAGUGGCUUACCAAGGCUUUGACGGGUAGCCGGCCUGAGAGGGUGACCGGCCACAUUGGGACUGAGAUACGGCCCAGACUCCUACGGGAGGCAGCAGUGGGGAAUAUUGCACAAUGGGCGGAAGCCUGAUGCAGCAACGCCGCGUGCGGGAUGACGGCCUUCGGGUUGUAAACCGCUUUCGCCUGUGACGAAGCGUGAGUGACGGUAAUGGGUAAAGAAGCACCGGCUAACUACGUG